rnacentral:rRNA from 1 species
UACGAAGGGGGCUAGCGUUGCUCGGAAUGACUGGGCGUAAAGGGCGCGUAGGCGGAUUGUACAGUCAGGCGUGAAAUUCCCGGGCUCAACCUGGGGGCUGCGCUUGAGACGUGCGAUCUUGAGUGGGGAAGAGGGUCGUGGAAUUCCCAGUGUAGAGGUGAAAUUCGUAGAUAUUGGGAAGAACACCGGUGGCGAAGGCGGCGACCUGGUCCUUGACUGACGCUGAGCGCGAAAGCGUGGGGAGCAAACAGG